GAUGAACGCUAGCGGCAGGCUUAAUACAUGCAAGUCGAGGGACAGCACAGGUAGCAAUACUGGGUGGUAACCGGCAAACGGGUGCGGAACACGUACACAACCUUCCUUUAAGUGGGGGAUAGCCCAGAGAAAUUUGGAUUAAUACCCCGUCAUAUAGUUGAAUGGCAUCAUUUGAUUAUUAUAGCUACGGUGCUUAAUGAUGGGUGUGCGGCUGAUUAGAUAGUUGGCGGGGUAACGGCCCACCAGAUUUACGAUCAGUAGCGGAUGUGGGAGCAUGAUCAGCCACGCGGGAACUGAGACACGGGCCCGACUCCUACGGGAGGCAGCAGUAAGGAAUAUUGGUCAAUGGACGCAAGUCUGAACCAGCCAUGCCGCGUGAAGGAUUAAGGUCCUCUGGAUUGUAAACUUCUUUUAUUUGGGACGAAAAAGGGCCUUUCUAGGUCAACUGACGGUACCAGAUGAAUAAGCACCGGCUAACUCCGUGCCAGCAGCCGCUGUAAGAC
rnacentral:rRNA from 1 species